rnacentral:sRNA from 1 species
CGCAGGGAGCCUGGCCACAUGGAAGGGGCGUGGUCCGGAACUCCAACACCAGGUCCUGCUUGGCCGCCCCUCCCGCGGCUACGCGCUACUCCAUCUACUGCUGGUUUGCCCGGGGUCCUUAAGCCAGCGACAGUGUUUAUUGCCGAACCCAGGCUGGAGCCGGGCGGCCCCAGGAGCCGCGCACAACAGCGCAAGCGGGUUGGAUACCGGGAGCCGAUUCCAGGGCGCCCACAGAAGCAGAAUCAGAGGGGUUGCUCACACCCGAGAUGUGAGGUUCCAGGAGCGCCGACCCAGAGUUGCCAGGCCUGAAGGCGGCAGAGGCUCAGUCGCACCCUACAUCUCCCACCUCAAGAUUUUAAGUAUAGUCCGCUUGAAAUCCCUGGAAUGCGCUUUCUUCUGGCUCCUACCCGGAGAUCCGGAGUCCGGACAAACCCGGGCAGGAAGGGUCCGUCGGACCAGCUCCUCCCAAGCCGAGGCUUCCAGGUCUCGGCCGGGUUCUUCUCCCUGCUUUUAGCUGAGCCGGGCUGGGCGUGUCUCUCUCCUCCAUCUAGAGCAGGGUGUGAAGAGGAAGCCAGAGGGGGCUGUCUGAAAAUGACCCUGACUCCCUCCUCGGGCUGUCGUGAGGAAGAGGGCCGCUUCGCCUGGCUGCUCGUCAUCGCGAAGGCUCCAAAGAAGGGUUGCGCAGCCGUGCUGGUAUAACCGAGGGUGUCCUGGCGAAGCCCAGCCCCUGGCGCCCUGGUGACCGGGGAGUCGAUGUGCGGACUGGAAAGAACUGGAGCCCGAAGCUGGAGAGCGCCCCUCAAAGGGAAGCCUGGAAGCCCGACAGAUGAACCCGACUCAGAGAGGGCCAAGACUGCAGACCUUGGGGACCGAGGACACGCUCACCACGCUGGUGGAGGCUGGGGGGAGGGCGCGGGCGGUGGCGUGCGGGGAAGCGCCUGGGAACACCUGGCUCUGCAAGUUUUGUGCCUUAGCGGAAAGAGGCGACAUCUCUGGCAACUUGGGAGUACAGGAAGUACCGAAGGAGUGCCAUCUGGUGGAUCAUUCUGGUAGUGACACUCAGACCUGGGCCAGGGGCCUUGAGACAAUUUACUUGACUGGAAAAAUCUGAGUAAAAAAAAGAUGCUUCAA